AUGUUGAUAAUAUAUGACUAUAAAUUGAUAGUCUUGGUAAUUGAGGCUAUUUAUAGAUUUAUAAUGUAUUGUGGUUUAUCUUUUAUAAUUGAGGCUAUUUAUAGAUUUAUAGUGUAUUGUGACUCAAUUUGUUACAAAUAUUUUUGUCAAAACUCUUUAUCCAUCAAUGAUAAGCAAUUUGGUCACAUGAGUAAUUAA